UACGUAGGUGGCAAGCGUUAUCCGGAUUUACUGGGUGUAAAGGGCGUGUAGGCGGUUCUGCAAGUCGGGUGUGAAAUUUCCGGGCUUAACCCGGACGGGUCACCCGAAACUGCGGAACUUGAGUACUGGAGAGGAUAGUGGAAUUCCUAGUGUAGCGGUAAAAUGCGUAGAUAUUAGGAGGAACACCAGUGGCGAAGGCGGCUAUCUGGACAGUAACUGACGCUGAGGCGCGAAAGCGUGGGGAGCAAACAGGAUUAGAUACCCUGGUAGUCCCUGAGCGGGCU
rnacentral:rRNA from 1 species